GACGUAGGGGACGAGCGUUGUCCGGAUUCAUUGGGCGUAAAGCGCGCGCAGGUGGUUCCUUAAGUCUGAUGUGAAAGCCCACGGCUCAACCGUGGAGGGUCAUUGGAAACUGGGGAACUUGAGUGCAGAAGAGGAAAGUGGAAUUCCAAGUGUAGCGGUGAAAUGCGUAGAGAUUUGGAGGAACACCAGUGGCGAAGGCGACUUUCUGGUCUGUAACUGACACUGAGGCGCGAAAGCGUGGGGAGCAAACAGG
rnacentral:rRNA from 1 species